GCAGCUUCUACCAGAUCAAAAGGAAGAUAAUAAAAAUGCUGAACUCAACUGCAAUGAUGCGUCUCUUCAUCCUCCUCAUCCUCGCUGUACACACAGCUCCAGCGGAUGGCAGAUGCAGAGGCUCUCCAGAGGGUCAUAGCCAACCUUGACCAGCUACUAAGUCAACACCAGCAACUGCUAGAAGAGUCGUCACAAUCCCUGAAGAAUCUGGCUCAUCAGCAAGGUAUAUGAAGGUACCUCCACCAGCAGAGGUUGGCAGACAGGGUGAUAUCUGACAGCUGUUGGACUGUAGGUGUGGAGGGACCCUUCAAUAUCUCAUGGACUGGGAGGGAUAUGGACCUGAGGAGCAGUGUUGGUUACCAGCCAGGCAUAUCCUAGACCCUGCACUUAUAGCUGGCUUUCACUGGCAGUUUCUCGAACGGCUUGCUCCCCAUCUUUGGAGUCAUCCCAGGGGACAUCCCUUGGAUUUAUGGUCUAGUUGUGUCAGCGGUUGCUCCGGUGGUUCUCCUGUCGAGGACUUCAGUCGUGUGGGUGGUAGUUGUCAUGGGUGUCCUCAUUCCUCGGACAAAUAGGACUCCUCCUGUAUCCAGCAUUUCUGCUCAUGCAGUAUGCACAGAUUACGCUGCUCCUGAUACUACAGGUUGGGGUAUAUUUCCAUUUGGGGGAGCUGUGGCUGCUUUUCAGAAAAUCUACUUUCUAAGAUAUGCAAAAAUUUGCCAAGGAAACCAGUGAAGUGCUGAAGCCUAUCCCAGCGGUCACUGGGCAGAAGGCAGGAAACACCCUAGAGGAAUACUUUAAAUCAUUUCUAUAAUAUCUGUAAUUGAACUUAAUCAUUAUACAUUGUUUUUCUUUUUUUUCAGGCAAUCAUGUUUAAAAAAAAACAAACAAACACACACACAUAGCAGAAACAUUAAAUAUUAUUAAAUAUUCAGUAUUUCUAUUUUUCUACUCUAAUGCAUAAAGACAACAUCAGUAAAAGAUCAGUAACAAAAAUGAAACAUUUUGGCUCUAUCAGAGAAAAUGCAAAGAAAAAAGCAAACAAGGAAAAAAGUUAUCGCCAUGUGAUGUCAUUUCAUGCUAAUUCCUGAAACAUGUCAAGCUGUCUGUGUCUUAUAAAGACCCAGAGAGCUCUGUGGAGCAGAAGCAGCUUCUACCAGAGUAAAAGGUAAGACUGACCAUUUCACAUGUUUCUCAUAGCUUUUUAUUAGUAUCACAUGAUUUUGUGUUUCUUGUACUUUUACGUGUACAAGUAACAGCCAAAGCAAGUGUUUAACAUCUGAGUUCA